rnacentral:rRNA from 1 species
AUGUCUAAGCAUGAGCUGAAGUAAAGUGAAGCCGCGAAAAGCUCAUUACAAUAGCCGUUGUUUCUUGGAUCUCCAAAUACUACAUGGAUAACUGUGGUAAUUCUAGAGCUAAUACAUGCGUACAUGCAUCAACUGGUGUAAGCCGGGCGAUGUGCAUUUAUUGGAUCAGAACCAUCCGGCCUUCGGGCCGUUCACAUGGUGAAUCUAAAUAACUGAGCGGAGCACACACUCUUGCAGUGGUGCCAGUUCUUUCAAGUGUCUACCUUAUCAACUUCCGACGGUAGUUUAUGUGCCUACCGUGGUUGUAACGGGUAACGGAGAAUCAGGGUUUGACUCCGGAGAGGGAGCCUGAGAAACGGCUACCACCUCUAAGGAAGGCAGCAGGCGCGCAAAUUACCCAUUCUCAGCACGAGGAGGUAGUGACGAGAAAUAGCAAGGCGGUGCCCAAUGGGUGCCGUCAUUGCAAUGAGAACAAUUUAAAUCCUUUAACGAGGAUCUAGUCGAGGGCAAGUCUGGUGCCAGCAGCCGCGGUAAUUCCAGCUCGGCUAGCAUAUAUCAAUGUUGCUGCGGUUAAAAAGCUCGUAGUUGGAUCUGGCGUUUAGCGGCGGGUGCACCCAGUCGGGUGUUACUCGUUCGCGGCGCAUUUAUAUAGUCAGUUGGCUGGCAGUGUCAUUCAUUUGGCUGCUGUCAGCUGCUGACAAGUUUACUUUGAACAAAUCAGAGUGCUCAAAACAGGCGUGUGCCUGUAUGA